ACCAUGGAUACCAUAGAUACCAACCCAGUACAGCAUAUAGAUUUUUUUUUUCAUUUUAUCCGUGUUACUAAGGUAUAUUGGUAUACAAUUUACACGUUUGUUUUAAUUAUUUACUUUAUCGAAUUAAAUCGAUGCCUAAAUCCUGCUCUGUGAUAUCCUCUUUAACUUAAAAAAAAAAAGCUGCACGACGGUUGAAUAAGUAGUUUUGAAGCCAACCCGUAACAAAGAUAUACAUUUUCGCUUUUAUAUAUAUAGAUAAA